AACGAACGCUGGCGGCAGGCCUAACACAUGCAAGUCGAACGCCGUAGCAAUACGGAGUGGCAGACGGGUGAGUAACGCGUGGGAACAUGCCCUUUGGUUCGGAAUAACUCAGGGAAACUUGAGCUAAUACCGGAUAAGCCCGAGAGGGGAAAGAUUUAUCGCCGAAGGAUUGGCCCGCGUCCGAUUAGCUAGUUGGUGAGGUAACGGCUCACCAAGGCGACGAUCGGUAGCUGGUCUGAGAGGAUGAUCAGCCACACUGGGACUGAGACACGGCCCAGACUCCUACGGGAGGCAGCAGUGGGGAAUAUUGGAAAAUGGGCGCAAGUCUUAUCCAGCCAUGCCGCGUGAGUGAUGAAGGCCCUAGGGUUGUAAAGCUCUUUCGCCAGGGACGAUAAUGACGGUACCUGGAUAAGAAGCCCCGGCUAACUUCGUGCCAGCAGCCGCCGUAACAC
rnacentral:rRNA from 1 species